rnacentral:rRNA from 1 species
UAGUCCACGCCGUAAACGAUGUCUACUAGCCGUUGGGGAACUUGAGUCCUUAGUGGCGCAGCUAACGCACUAAGUAGACCGCCUGGGGAGUACGGCCGCAAGGUUAAAACUCAAAUGAAUUGACGGGGCCCGCACAAGCGGUGGAGCAUGUGGUUUAAUUCGAUGCAACGCGAAGAACCUUACCAGGUCUUGACAUCCAGAGAACUUACUAGAGAUAGUUUGGUGCCUUCGGGAGCUCUGUGACAGGUGCUGCAUGGCUGUCGUCAGCUCGUGUCGUGAGAUGUUGGGUUAAGUCCCGUAACGAGCGCAACCCUUGUCCUUAGUUGCCAGCGCGUAAUGGCGGGAACUCUAAGGAGACUGCCGGUGACAAACCGGGAGGAAGGUGGGGACGACGUCAAGUCAUCAUGGGCCCUUACGACCUGGGGCUACACACGUGCUACAAUGGGAACGCACAAAGGGGCAGCUAACCUGCGAAGGGGGC